UGGGGAUAUUGCACAAUGGGGGGAAACCCUGAUGCAGCGACGCCGCGUGAGGGAAGAAGGUUUUCGGAUUGUAAACCUCUGUCCCUGGUGACGAAGAUGACGGUAACCAGGGAGGAAGCCACGGCUAACUACGUGCCAGCAGCCGCGGUAAUACGUAGGUGGCAAGCGUUGUCCGGAAUUACUGGGUGUAAAGGGAGCGUAGGCGGGGAGACAAGUUGGACGUUUAAUCUAUCGGCUUAACCGAUAACAGCGUUCAAAACUGUAUUUCUUGAGUGAGGUAGAGGUAAGCGGAAUUCCUAGUGUAGCGGUGAAAUGCGUAAAUAUUAGGAGGAACACCAGUGGCGAAGGCGGCUUACUGGGGCCUUAACUGACGCUGAGGCUCGAAAAGCGUGGGUAGCAAACAGGAUUAGAUACCU
rnacentral:rRNA from 1 species